GACAGAGGUGCCGAGCGUUAGGCGGAAUCACUGGGCUUAAAGCGUGUGUAGGCGGAUCGUUAAGUGCCUUGUGAAAUCCCACGGCUUAACCGUGGAACUGCUUGGCAUACUGGCGGUCUUGAGCCACUUAGGGGCUACCGGAACAAAUGGUGGAGCGGUGAAAUGCGUAGAUAUCAUUUGGAACGCCAAUGGUGAAAACAGGUAGCUGGGAGUGUGCUGACGCUGAGACACGAAAGCCAGGGGAGCGAACCGG
rnacentral:rRNA from 1 species